UUUAACGAGAGUUUGAUCCUGGCUCAGGAUGAACGCUGGCGGCGUGCUUAACACAUGCAAGUCGAGCGAAGCACCUUGACGGAUUUCUUCGGAAUGAAGUUUUG
rnacentral:rRNA from 1 species